UACGUAGGCAGCGAGCGUUUGUUCGGAGUUACUGGGCGUAAAGCGCGCGUAGGCGGAUCUGCAAGUCGGGGGUGAAAUCCCGAGGCUCAACCUCGGAACUGCCUUCGAUACUGCGGGUCUCGAGUCCGGGAGAGGUGAGUGGAAUUCCUAGUGUAGAGGUGAAAUUCGUAGAUAUUAGGAAGAACACCAGUGGCGAAGGCGGCUCACUGGCCCGGGUACUGACGCUGAUGGCGCGAAAAGCGUGGGUAGCAAACAGGG
rnacentral:rRNA from 1 species